rnacentral:lncRNA from 1 species
UGGGGUGGCGGUGGCUGUAUUUGGUCAAUCUUCUCUUCUGCAGCAAUUCCCUCCCUCUUCGUUUUGGCACUAGUUAUCAGCAAUUCUGAUCUCGGCUUGGUUCUGACGACAUGUGACUUUGGCUGCCUUGCGCUGGUAUUAGGAGUUCGAUAUUGCAUGGGUUGUUGCUGGAUUUACAUCUAGACUAUAAUCUGAUCAUCAGAAAACAUCAUGUGUUCUCUGCUUGCUGUCAAGAGAAGGGUUGCAGCAAGACCGUUACAUAAUUUUUUCUUGGUUUGGAGUUGCUUGUGCGGUGUUGCUUGGAUUCAAAGAGGAGAUCAGCAGUCAGUGUUGUUUUUUUCCUUCGCCGUCGAUGUUCCUAUGGUUGGUGGCUACAACGGUUGCAGCAAUUGGAACGAAAAGUUGGUACUCAAGAGAUCUCAUCAGCCACCUACGUCGACGUUGAAAUGGGCAACAUGAUGCUAUGUCUUGUUUUGAUAUAAAUAUAAUACUUGAUACCACUCUGUUGUAGAAGGACCUAUCGUUUUAACAGAAUGUAACCAAAGGUUCUAGGUGUGGAUAGCCUUGGUGUCGAGUAAUUAGCCCCAAAUUGAGUAGUGUUAGAAUCGAUAACUUGUGCGUUGAAUAGAGUGAAUCGUAAUUUAGGAUAGAUUUAUUCAUAGUUUGCAUUUUGUUUGAUUUAACUUCUGCAUAGCCGCAUCUAUUUAUGCAUAGAUCAGAAUCUGCUCCCUAGCAUACUAUCACAGUCUUUGACAAGUGGGCCUCUAGCUUCUCUACACUUAACUUGAUCUAAGAUUCUGAUCUUUGAAGUAGGAUCUGCCUAAUUGGCGUUCAAGAUUGUUAGUAGAUCAAGAAGAGAGGAAUCCUCAGUUGCCGGGAUCUUCUUGGAGAUGUGUAGUAGGGAUCGAAUACCUGUGGUUUUAACCACAAUGCAGUUUUUUAUCGACCUCUAGAAUUCUGCACAAGUAUGUGAGGGUUGAAGCUUACAUGAACC